UACAGAGGGCGCGAGCGUUGUCCGGAAUCACUGGGCGUAAAGGGCGCGUAGGUGGCCUCCAUAAGGCCGUGGUGAAAGUCUGGGGCUCAACCCCGGAUCGGCCGCGGCGACUGUGGGGCUCGGGCACUGUAGAGGCAGAUGGAAUUCCGGGUGUAGCGGUGGAAUGCGUAGAGAUCCGGAAGAACGACCAGUGGCGAAGGC
rnacentral:rRNA from 1 species